GAGCUUUGGCUGUGUUAAAGCUUUAGAGCGUAACUUUUUGAUAUUAAUGAACGUCCGUUAAAUUCAAGCCAUUGUGAAAUGGGUUGCUACAAAGCUGAUUAAUACUAUCAGCUCCACAGAACUCUCUCAAUAUAUAUCAGCAUGGCCGUGUUCAGAAGAUUGUGGCGUCCGGCGACUUGCACGCGCAGAAACUUGAGCGAAGCUAAUAAGCUCUUCUGAAGAGUCCAUCAUGUUUUUUUAAUCAUCUGUGUCCU